GUGGGUACAGCUUGGUGGUAGAGAGCAUGCUUAGCAUGCAUGAGGUCCUGAGUUCAAUCCCCAGUACCUCCA
rnacentral:tRNA from 1 species